UGCACUGCCAUAGGGAACGGUGAG
rnacentral:misc_RNA from 1 species